rnacentral:rRNA from 1 species
GACGAACGCUGGCGGCGUGCUUAACACAUGCAAGUCGAACGGAAAGGCCCUGCUUUUGUGGGGUGCUCGAGUGGCGAACGGGUGAGUAACACGUGAGUAACCUGCCCUUGACUUUGGGAUAACUUCAGGAAACUGGGGCUAAUACCGGAUAGGAGCUCCUGCUGAAUGGUGGGGGUUGGAAAGUUUCGGCGGUUGGGGAUGGACUCGCGGCUUAUCAGCUUGUUGGUGGGGUAGUGGCUUACCAAGGCUUUGACGGGUAGCCGGCCUGAGAGGGUGACCGGCCACAUUGGGACUGAGAUACGGCACAGACUCCUACGGGAGGCAGCAGUGGGGAAUAUUGCACAAUGGGCGGAAGCCUGAUGCAGCAACGCCGCGUGCGGGAUGACGGCCUUCGGGUUGUAAACCGCUUUCGCCUGUGACGAAGCGUGAGUGACGGUAAUGGGUAAAGAAGCACCGGCUAACUACGUG